rnacentral:rRNA from 1 species
AGGGCAAGUCUGGUGCCAGCAGCCGCGGUAAUUCCAGCUCCAAUAGCGUAUAUUAAAGUUGCUGCAGUUAAAAAGCUCGUAGUUGAAUUUCGGGACCGAUAUAUCGGUCGUGCCUCGGUACGUACUGGUAUUUCGGUUUCUACCUUCUGACGAACCUUGAUGUCAUUAAUUUGGUGUUACGGGUAGUUAGGACUGUUACUUUGAAAAAAUUAGAGUGUUUAAAGCAGGCUCACGCUUGAAUACAUUAGCAUGGAAUAAUGAAAUAGGACGUUUGAUUCUAUUUUGUUGGUUUCUAGGGAUCGACGUAAUGAUUAAUAGGGAUAGUUGGGGGCAUUAGUAUUCAAUUGUCAGGGGUGAAAUUCUUGGAUUUAUUGAAGACUAACUACUGCGAAAGCAUUUGCCAAGGAUGUUUUCAUUAAUCAAGAACGAAAGUUAGGGGGAUCGAAGACGAUCAGAUACCGUCAUAGUCUUAACCAUAAACUAUGCCGACUAGGGAUCGGAUGAUGUUAAUUUUUUAAUGACUCAUUCGGCGCCUUACG